rnacentral:rRNA from 1 species
UACGUAGGGAGCAAGCGUUGUCCGGAAUCAUUGGGCGUAAAGCGCGCGUAGGCGGCCCUGUAAGUCCGUUGUGAAAGUCAAAGGCUCAACCUUUGAAAGCCGAUGGAUACUGCAGGGCUAGAGUCCGGAAGAGGCGAGUGGAAAUCCUGGUGUAGCGGUGGAAUGCGCAGAUAUCAGGAGGAACACCAAUAGCGAAGGCAGCUCGCUGGGACGGUACUGACGCUAAGGCGCGAAAGCGUGGGGAACGAACAGG